GGUAACAUCAAAUCGUACCCCAAACCGACACAGGUGGUCAGGUAGAGAAUACCAAGGCGCUUGAGAGAACUCGGGUGAAGGAACUAGGCAAAAUGGUGCCGUAACUUCGGGAGAAGGCACGCUGAUACGUAGGUGAAGUCCCUCGCGGAUGGAGCUGAAAUCAGUCGAAGAUACCAGCUGGCUGCAACUGUUUAUUAAAAACACAGCACUGUGCAAACACGAAAGUGGACGUAUACGGUGUGACGCCUGCCCGGU
rnacentral:rRNA from 1 species